AGUGAACGCUGGCGGCAUGCCUUACACAUGCAAGUCGAACGGUAACGCGGGGCAACCUGGCGACGAGUGGCGAACGGGUGAGUAAUGCAUCGGAACGUGCCCAGUAGUGGGGGAUAGCCCGGCGAAAGCCGGAUUAAUACCGCAUACGACCUACGGGUGAAAGCGGGGGACCGCAAGGCCUCGCGCUAUUGGAGCGGCCGAUGUCAGAUUAGGUUGUUGGUGAGGUAAAGGCUCACCAAGCCGACGAUCUGUAGCUGGUCUGAGAGGACGACCAGCCGAAGGGGGAGUGAGAUACGGACGAGGCCCCGACGGGAGGAAGCAGUAGGGAGUUUUGGACAAUGGGCGCAAGCCUGAGCCAACCAUGCCGCGUGCGGAAAAAAGGCAUUCGGGUUGUAAACCGGGUGUGUCGGGGAAGAAAUCUACUGGGCUAAUACCCCGGGAGGAUGACGGUACCCGAAGAAUAAGCACCGACUAACUACGUGCCAGCAGCCGCCGUAAGAC
rnacentral:rRNA from 1 species